CCCCGCCCACAACACGCAAGUUGAUGUCAUUUCCGUUAGCUACAAUCGCAAACAGUUUGCUAGCUAGCUAUGCCUUCGUCACGUAAAUGCAUAUUACCUGGUUGUGAUAAAACCAGCUCGGUCUCCUUAUUUAAAUUUCCUAAAAACCACGAUAUAAAGAAACGGUGGAUUAAGUUUGUGAAGAGCCAUCUUGAUAGAGAGCUGACGAUCACCACCAACACCCGCCUCUGCAGUGAUCAUUUUACACUGGAUAGUUUUACAAACUUUCGUCGGAGACAAAUGGGAUUCACCGAUAAUCCGCUGUUAUUGGUAAAAGGGGCCGAACCGACAAUCUAUCGCCCGGAACUUCAUCCUCCCAUCCCGCAGACAUCUGGUGCUAACAUCAGCAGUGCCUGUCCGCCAGCGACUUCUAUUCACAAAGCAGUCCCUUCAAAUCAAAAGAGAGACAGAAGAGUGUCCGUGUGACAUGCAGAAAGUCACCAGAGAAGUUGGAUGUCAAACAGACCACUUCGUGGGGAAAAGGACUGUGGCCACGCAACUGUCUAAAGAACCACUAAGUAACAGAAAGAGUACAGGUUCUGAAGCUACGGCAGCCAUGACAGGGUUUUUCCUUGCUCAAAAUGAGGUGGAGGUGGUGCUAUCCUGAUGCACACGAAUACAUGUGUACCGUGACUCAAACACACUGUCCACACUCUUUACAAGCGACAUAUUUGGUGUUUAAUAAUUUGUUGAUUUAAGAUAAUGACAAUUAUUAACUUCUUAUUUCAUAAAACAUUAAAUAAUAAAACUAAGUAGCUUAUGUGUUAAUUUACAGUUAACAAACAGCUCAGUUUAAAAUGAAAUGUAAGCUUUUUUAUUAAACAUUAUUUAUUAAAUAUAACACUACGAUAAUUAUUAGAUCAAGCAAAGGAUUAGGAUCUUAACAGAACUUUUUUUUGUAAUAAAGGUAGUAAAAAAGUGGAGGAAAGUAUGACAGCAAGAGUGACAGAUGACCGUGUACAUUAGCUAUCAUCACCAAAGACUAAUAUUUCCCUUCUUUUAACUAUUUUAGUCUACUAUAGCUAAAUUGAGUUAAACUAUCAGCUACUGUAUUACUGUAUAACUUUUCUUAUUACGUUUUUUUUUAUUACCAAUUAAUAAUCAAUUCGUCAAUAAUUUGCGCUAAUUCGGUCUUAUUAAAGGUGGAUAGAAGCUCUUUCACAUCCUCUGUUAUGCGUUUCACUUACUGAUCUCUGACUGAGUCACUGAGCUCUGAUUGACUCAUUUGGUGACUAAAUGGUUUCAAUCGUUCAAUAAAAUGAAUUGUUUUAAAAGAAUAAUUAAUUUUCGAGUCAUUAGUGGUCGCGACAUGACAAAUUAUAGCUAAUACAGCUCUUAGGAGGAAACUCUUCUUGUAAAGUUAAGUCAGCACCUCACUGUGCUGAUAACGAAACAGUGCCACCAGAGUACACCAGUAAGACUGCAACUGCACUUAUAAAUGACAGUCCACAGAGUGCAAUGAUUGUUCGUGUUUUCUGUGAAGACACAUGACACAGAAACCCGUCGAGAGCCGGAGGCGGCACAAAAUUUCGACAUCCAAAAUCUCUAUGCAGGAAAAACUCUGUCAUGAGGAGUCUUGCUGUGGACACAGCUAUUUCCUUCAUCUCCAGUGGUCCAUGGUUUGCCUGUCAUGAGCACAUUCUGGUGAUAAGCCGAGUCUGAUAGGAAAGGGGGAUCAUGCUUGCCGGCCUAGAAAAGAGAGGACAGACAUCAGACCUCGUUAUAAAAAAGAUAAACACGGUACACAGAAGAAAGAAAAUUGAUUGAGAAUUUUGCACAACUCUUCAUGCAUGCAAGAAUAGAGGAGAGCGGGGACGAUUGCAAGAUGGGGCAGUUGCAACAUGGCUUAUUUGUCCAAUGAAACUUCUCCUCAAUUCUGCUAAAUGUGACCAUUCCUUUUCUAAAAAAAUGUUUCUAGGUAAAAAAAAUUUUUUUUUAUGCUUAGAAUGUUUGUCAUACUGUCAAAAGUGUUUGUGUAAAGCAUUAUAAAAUCAUAUUUUAUUUUAAUGAGUGUUCUCUCAUGUGUCAAAGCUUCUAGCUUUAUUUUUAUCAUGACUGUUUGACAUAUCACAACAAUUAUGAAAAAUCUUUUCAUAAUAACAUAAUAAAAUUUUAAUUUUAUGGAUUUAUAAUUAAUUAUUUUAAUUGCCAGGUAUCUCACAUUUUCUAAGAAAAUACAGGCAGUCUUUUACAGUUUUUAUUUUUUUGUUCUGUGUUUUUAGUAUGCCACAAGAGUGGAGAAACGCACUUAAAAAAUAGCUCUUUGGUUGAACAUGAUUAAAUAAUGGACAGUGGUUCCACUUAGGUUUUCUUAACAUGAAUAACAUAUUAACUAAGUGCGCCCUAAGUAAGCUCUGCUUAACUACUUAAUAUAGAUGGUAUAUGACUAAAUCAAGUGUACUUAACAUGAACAAACAAACAAACACAUAUUCACUGAAUCAAGUAAACCCAACAAGAUUUACAAAUAAAACAACUUAUUUGAAUGACUUAUUGGUUAACUUUUAUCUAACUUUUAAGAUAAGGUCAGAAUCAAAAGCUGAUCAUAACAAAUAAUGUUUAAUGUUUAAAACAAAUACAUUUGUCAAGGAGCAAAAUGUGUUAUUUUUACAAAUAAAACAACUUAUUUGAAUGACUUAUUGGUUAACUUUUAUCUAACUUUUAAGAUAAGGUCAGAAUCAAAAGCUGAUCAUAACAAAUAAUGUUUAAUGUUUAAAACAAAUACAUUUGUCAAGGAGCAAAAUGUGUUAUUUUGAAUGUUAGUCUUUUUCUUUACACAGCCAGAUUAACUUUGUGAAGACUCAGUUUGUACAGAAAUAAUGAAAUUGUGUAAUUCCUAAUAUUAAAAAAAAUCAUUUUUAUACAUUGAAAAGAUUGUUGCAUCUGUCCCUGUGGACUGCUGCAACUGUCCCCUGUUAUGGGGUCAGUUGCAACAUUUGACUUUGUCUAUUGAACUAUAAAUUAUGCAUGUUAUCAUAUUUAAACAUGCUACAUCAGUGUGGGAUGGUACAGUAGCUGACAGAUGUAUGUUUAAUGCAUUAAAAUGUUGAUUUUUCAAAACAAACCAGCUCCAAGGAAUCGAAGGAAAUGCAAAAAGUGUUCCUGCCCUCCCCUGGAGAUUUAAAUGAUGUAGAGUAAACCAUGAUCAGUGUUAAAAAAAA